rnacentral:rRNA from 1 species
UGGCGGCAGGCCUAACACAUGCAAGUCGAGCGGUAGCACAGAGAGCUUGCUCUCGGGUGACGAGCGGCGGACGGGUGAGUAAUGUCUGGGAAACUGCCUGAUGGAGGGGGAUAACUACUGGAAACGGUAGCUAAUACCGCAUAACGUCGCAAGACCAAAGUGGGGGACCUUCGGGCCUCAUGCCAUCAGAUGUGCCCAGAUGGGAUUAGCUAGUAGGUGGGGUAACGGCUCACCUAGGCGACGAUCCCUAGCUGGUCUGAGAGGAUGACCAGCCACACUGGAACUGAGACACGGUCCAGACUCCUACGGGAGGCAGCAGUGGGGAAUAUUGCACAAUGGGCGCAAGCCUGAUGCAGCCAUGCCGCGUGUGUGAAGAAGGCCUUCGGGUUGUAAAGCACUUUCAGCGGGGAGGAAGGCGUUAAGGUUAAUAACCUUGGCGAUUGACGUUACCCGCAGAAGAAGCACCGGCUAACUCCGUGCCAGCAGCCGCGGUAAUACGGAGGGUGCAAGCGUUAAUCGGAAUUACUGGGCGUAAAGCGCACGCAGGCGGUCUGUCAAGUCGGAUGUGAAAUCCCCGGGCUCAACCCUGGGACUUGCAUCGGAAACUGGCAGGCUAGAGUCUUGUAGAGGGGGGUAGAAUUUCAGGUGUAGCGGUGAAAUGCGUAGAGAUCUGGAGGAAUACCGGUGGCGAAGGCGGCCCCCUGGACAAAGACUGACGCUCAGGUGCGAAAGCGUGGGGAGCAAACAGGAUUAGAUACCCUGGUAGUCCACGCCGUAAACGAUGUCGAUUUGGAGGUUGUGCCCUUGAGGCGUGGCUUCCGGAGCUAACGCGUUAAAUCGACCGCCUGGGGAGUACGGCCGCAAGGUUAAAACUCAAAUGAAUUGACGGGGGCCCGCACAAGCGGUGGAGCAUGUGGUUUAAUUCGAUGCAACGCGAAGAACCUUACCUGGUCUUGACAUCCACAGAACUUCCCAGAGAUGGAUUGGUGCCUUCGGGAACUGUGAGACAGGUGCUGCAUGGCUGUCGUCAGCUCGUGUUGUGAAAUGUUGGGUUAAGUCCCGCAACGAGCGCAACCCUUAUCCUUUGUUGCCAGCGGUCCGGCCGGGAACUCAAAGGAGACUGCCAGUGAUAAACUGGAGGAAGGUGGGGAUGACGUCAAGUCAUCAUGGCCCUUACGACCAGGGCUACACACGUGCUACAAUGGCAUAUACAAAGAGAAGCGACCUCGCGAGAGCAAGCGGACCUCAUAAAGUAUGUCGUAGUCCGGAUUGGAGUCUGCAACUCGACUCCAUGAAGUCGGAAUCGCUAGUAAUCGUAGAUCAGAAUGCUACGGUGAAUACGUUCCCGGGCCUUGUACACACCGCCCGUCACACCAUGGGAGUGGGUUGCAAAAGAAGUAGGUAGCUUAACCUUCGGGAGGGCGCUUACCACUUUGUGAUUCAUGACUGGGGUGAAGUCG